AUUGAACGCUGGCGGCAUGCUUUACACAUGCGAGUCGAACGGUAACAGGCCUUCGGGUGCUGACGAGUGGCGAACGGGUGAGUAAUGCAUCGGAACGUACCCAGAGGUGGGGGAUAACGCAGCGAAAGCUGUGCUAAUACCGCAUGUGAUCUGAGGAUGAAAGCGGGGGACCGAGCAGCAAUGUUUGGCCUCGCGCCUUUGGAGCGGCCGAUGUCGGAUUAGCUAGUUGGUGGGGUAAAGGCCUACCAAGGCGACGAUCCGUAGCUGGUCUGAGAGGACGACCAGCCACACUGGGACUGAGACACGGCCCAGACUCCUACGGGAGGCAGCAGUGGGGAAUUUUGGACAAUGGGCGCAAGCCUGAUCCAGCAAUGCCGCGUGCGGGAAGAAGGCCUUCGGGUUGUAAACCGCUUUUGGCAGGAACGAAACGGUGUCCGCUAAUACCGGGCGCUAAUGACGGUACCUGCAGAAUAAGCACCGGCUAACUAUGUG
rnacentral:rRNA from 1 species